rnacentral:rRNA from 1 species
AGCGUACACGGUGGAUGCCCUGGCAGUCAGAGGCGAUGAAGGACGUGCUAAUCUGCGAAAAGCGUCGGUAAGGUGAUAUGAACCGUUAUAACCGGCGAUGUCCGAAUGGGGAAACCCAGUGCAAUUCGUUGCACUAUCGUUAACUGAAUACAUAGGUUAACGAGGCGAACCGGGGGAACUGAAACAUCUAAGUACCCCGAGGAAAAGAAAUCAACCGAGAUUCCCCCAGUAGCGGCGAGCGAACGGGGAGCAGCCCGGAGUCUGAAUCAGCUUGUGUGUUAGUGGAAGCGUCUGGAAAGUCGCAGGGUACAGGGUGAUACUCCCGUACACUAAAACACACAGGUUGUGAACUCGAAGAGUAGGGCGGGACACGUGGUAUCCUGUCUGAAUAUGGGGGGACCAUCCUCCAAGGCUAAAUACUCCUGACUGACCGAUAGUGAACCAGUACCGUGAGGGAAAGGCGAAAAGAACCCCGGCGAGGGGAGUGAAAAAGAACCUGAAACCGUGUACGUACAAGCAGUAGGAGCCCACUAGUUGGGUGACUGCGUACCUUUUGUAUAAUGGGUCAGCGACUUAUAUUCUGUAGCAAGGUUAACCGUAUAGGGGAGCCGCAGGGAAACCGAGUCUUAACUGGGCGUUAAGUUGCAGGGUAUAGACCCGAAACCCGGUGAUCUAGCCAUGGGCAGGUUGAAGGUUGGGUAACACUAACUGGAGGACCGAACCGACUAAUGUUGAAAAAUUAGCGGAUGACUUGUGGCUGGGGGUGAAAGGCCAAUCAAACCGGGAGAUAGCUGGUUCUCCCCGAAAGCUAUUUAGGUAGCGCCUCGUGAACUCAUCUUCGGGGGUAGAGCACUGUUUCGGCUAGGGGGUCAUCCCGACUUACCAACCCGAUGCAAACUACGAAUACCGAAGAAUGUUAUCACGGGAGACACACGGCGGGUGCUAACGUCCGUCGUGAAGAGGGAAACAACCCAGACCGCCAGCUAAGGUCCCAAAGUCAUGGUUAAGUGGGAAACGAUGUGGGAAGGCCCAGACAGCCAGGAUGUUGGCUUAGAAGCAGCCAUCAUUUAAAGAAAGCGUAAUAGCUCACUGGUCGAGUCGGCCUGCGCGGAAGAUGUAACGGGGCUAAACCAUGCACCGAAGCUGCGGCAGCGACACUAUGUGUUGUUGGGUAGGGGAGCGUUCUGUAAGCCGUUGAAGGUGGCCUGUGAGGGUUGCUGGAGGUAUCAGAAGUGCGAAUGCUGACAUAAGUAACGAUAAUGCGGGUGAAAAACCCGCACGCCGGAAGACCAAGGGUUCCUGUCCAACGUUAAUCGGGGCAGGGUGAGUCGACCCCUAAGGCGAGGCCGAAAGGCGUAGUCGAUGGGAAACAGGUUAAUAUUCCUGUACUUGGUGUUACUGCGAAGGGGGGACGGAGAAGGCUAUGUUGGCCGGGCGACGGUUGUCCCGGUUUAAGCAUGUAGGCGGAUGUUCCAGGUAAAUCCGGAACGUCACUAACGCUGAGGUGUGAUGACGAGGCACUACGGUGCUGAAGUGACAAAUGCCCUGCUUCCAGGAAAAGCCUCUAAGCAUCAGGUAACAUCAAAUCGUACCCCAAACCGACACAGGUGGUCAGGUAGAGAAUACCAAGGCGCUUGAGAGAACUCGGGUGAAGGAACUAGGCAAAAUGGUGCCGUAACUUCGGGAGAAGGCACGCUGAUGGUAGGUGAAGUGACUUGCUCAUGGAGCUGAAAUCAGUCGAAGAUACCAGCUGGCUGCAACUGUUUAUUAAAAACACAGCACUGUGCAAACACGAAAGUGGACGUAUACGGUGUGACGCCUGCCCGGUGCCGGAAGGUUAAUUGAUGGGGUUAUCCUCGCGGAGAAGCUCUUGAUCGAAGCCCCGGUAAACGGCGGCCGUAACUAUAACGGUCCUAAGGUAGCGAAAUUCCUUGUCGGGUAAGUUCCGACCUGCACGAAUGGCGUAAUGAUGGCCAGGCUGUCUCCACCCGAGACUCAGUGAAAUUGAACUCGCUGUGAAGAUGCAGUGUACCCGCGGCAAGACGGAAAGACCCCGUGAACCUUUACUAUAGCUUGACACUGAACACUGGUCCUUGAUGUGUAGGAUAGGUGGGAGGCUUUGAAGUGUGGACGCCAGUCUGCAUGGAGCCAUCCUUGAAAUACCACCCUUUAAUGGCUGGUGUUCUAACGUGGGCCCGUGAUCCGGGUUGCGGACAGUGUCUGGUGGGUAGUUUGACUGGGGCGGUCUCCUCCUAAAGAGUAACGGAGGAGCACGAAGGUCAGCUAAUCCUGGUCGGACAUCAGGAGGUUAGUGCAAUGGCAUAAGCUGGCUUGACUGCGAGCGUGACGGCGCGAGCAGGUGCGAAAGCAGGUCAUAGUGAUCCGGUGGUUCUGAAUGGAAGGGCCAUCGCUCAACGGAUAAAAGGUACUCCGGGGAUAACAGGCUGAUACCGCCCAAGAGUUCAUAUCGACGGCGGUGUUUGGCACCUCGAUGUCGGCUCAUCACAUCCUGGGGCUGAAGUAGGUCCCAAGGGUAUGGCUGUUCGCCAUUUAAAGUGGUACGCGAGCUGGGUUUAGAACGUCGUGAGACAGUUCGGUCCCUAUCUGCCGUGGGCGCUGGAGAAUUGAGGGGGGCUGCUCCUAGUACGAGAGGACCGGAGUGGACGCAUCACUGGUGUUCGGGUUGUCAUGCCAAUGGCAUUGCCCGGUAGCUAAAUGCGGAAGAGAUAAGUGCUGAAAGCAUCUAAGCACGAAACUUGCCCCGAGAUGAGUUCUCCCUGACUCCUUGA